rfam:Stegodyphus mimosarum contig123358, whole genome shotgun sequence.
GCCUUCAUGGUGUAGUGGUCAGCACGCUGGGCGCCUAUUGGAGAGGACCGUGGUUCGAAUCCCGGCGAGGGCA